rnacentral:rRNA from 1 species
AUUGAACGCUGGCGGCAUGCUUUACACAUGCAAGUCGAACGGCAGCGCGGGGGCAACCCUGGCGGCGAGUGGCGAACGGGUGAGUAAUGCAUCGGAACGUAUCCUGUAAUGGGGGAUAACGUAGCGAAAGUUACGCUAAUACCGCAUACGCUCGAGAGAGGAAAGUGGGGGAUCGCAAGACCUCACGUUAUAGGAGCGGCCGAUGUCCGAUUAGCUAGUUGGUGGGGUAAAGGCCUACCAAGGCGACGAUCGGUAGCUGGUCUGAGAGGAUGAUCAGCCACACUGGGACUGAGACACGGCCCAGACUCCUACGGGAGGCAGCAGUGGGGAAUUUUGGACAAUGGGCGAAAGCCUGAUCCAGCCAUGCCGCGUGCGGGAAGAAGGCCUUCGGGUGUAACCGCUUUAGUCCGGAAAAGGGUAGGCGAGGAUAAUACCCUCGUCGCUUUGAUGGUAC